UUGAAGAGGGAAACUGUGAGCUCAUUUAUCAAAAUAUUUAUUUUAUUCAGCUUUGAAUACAUUUAUAAAGGAUCCCGAUCGGGAUAAAUCGACCACAACAAUAGCACUAGACGCCGGCAGCCAGUCACCACCUCUGCACCGCCUUGAAUGCACAAACCAAUUCGGAUUGCGUCUAUCACAUUUCUGGCAUUCAUUUGAAAUACACAACCGCAGAAGAAACAUCAAAGCCUCUACUCUAUUAGAGCUUGCACCAGCUUCGGUUCGAGUUCCAGUUUCCGUGAGUGAUCCGAUUUCUCUGCUUCAAUAAUAUUUGCUCACGUAACUUGAAAAUCCACAUUGUGAUUCUUCUGAAUCACAACAUUUCAUAAGGUUCGGAUCCUUGCUUAUUUUUAUCACUCUGAACUGGCGAGGUGCCAAUCGUAUUUCACUUUUUGUUCAAAAUGUGGGCGCUCCAUAUGCCUUUUAGACUCUAAUAUGCCAUUUUUAGGUAUUUAAAGAAGCAAUUGCAUGACUGAGGGCAAAAAGGUAGCCGGUGCACAAAGUAUUCCACAUUCCCUCGGGGUCCCGAAAGGGCUGCACCGAGGUGUGAUGUAGACAACCUACCUAAUAUAAGCAUUAGUGGCUGCUUCCAUAACCUGAACCAGUGAUCUAUAGGUCACACUGCUUCAAGGCUCCCCUUCAAUUACUUAUUAAGGCAUUUUAAAUUUUUUGCCAAUACGUGUAUGUGAAACGGAAUCAUUUUUUUAUGUUUUUUGAACGAUAUGCAGCAGAGGCUAUUGGACAUUCCAAUGUUUUCUGCUCCUUGCGUAAGUGCGUUUGAUUUUCUAUAUCUGGACAGGAAUAGCUAUGUGGCGAUUGUUAUGAUACAUGAUGAUGAUUUUGCUCAUGCGUGCUGAAGCUGGGUGUAUGUACACCAUUAGAUAUUGUAUUUG
rnacentral:lncRNA from 1 species